rnacentral:rRNA from 1 species
GACGAACGCUGGCGGCGUGCUUAACACAUGCAAGUCGAACGGAAAGGCCCUGCUUUUGUGGGGUGCUCGAGUGGCGAACGGGUGAGUAACACGUGAGUAACCUGCCCUUGACUUUGGGAUAACUUCAGGAAACUGGGGCUAAUACCGGAUAGGAGCUCCUGCUGCAUGGUGGGGGUUGGAAAGUUUCGGCGGUUGGGGAUGGACUCGCGGCUUAUCAGCUUGUUGGUGGGGUAGUGGCUUACCAAGGCUUUGACGGGUAGCCGGCCUGAGAGGGUGACCGGGCAAAAGGGGGGAAGGAUGCGGGAAGGGCGGAGACGAGAGACAGCAGUGGGAAGGGGAGGAGAACGGGCGGAGGUAUGAGGACGCAACGCCGCGGAGAGGAUGGAGGGCUGAGGGUAGUGAACAACGGCGGCCGGUAAAAAAGCGUGAGAGACGGGAAUGUGUAAGGAAGCACAGGCUAGCUAGAUA